rnacentral:lncRNA from 1 species
CACACAAGUGGCUAGUGAGAUCUGCCAUCCUCUCUAUCGAGCAUACAUAGGAUGUGCCAGUCUAUCCGAAAUAUUGAUCCCCGACUUAAUAUUUCUACGACCAAAAAUAUCUAAGAUUAAGGUUUUAGAAUUUUAGGUCUCACUAGCAUGAUCCAUUCAUGUCUCCUAAAAUUAUUGUCCUAAUCUUUGAGGUUCAUCAUAAUCUUAGACAUAAUAAGAUACAGCUAAUAUGAUGAAUCAAUAUCUCAAAUAAUAAAUAUCAUUUCAUGAGUUAAAAAAUUAUAAAGAAAAGUUCCAUCGCGAUACACUUG